rnacentral:misc_RNA from 1 species
GAGAUUAAUAUUCCGCUACGUAAAGCAAUGCUUAGAAUGUUUUGUAUCAGUUGGUGGCAAUGCAUUUAAUUAUUUAACACUAAAAUAACGAUCAGUGAGAGAAAGGGUGCAAUGUGAUCCUAUGAAGUGAUGAUAAGGAAACAAUAAUCCAUAAAUAUUUCGAGGAUAUACUCUGAUAGACCUGAAAAAGAAGGUAAUAAAAUGGUAAGAUAAAUAAAUAAAUAAUGAGAUAAUUAAAGAAAUAGUGGAAUUUCUGAAGCUGAUCUACUUGUUUACAGUCAAAGCUUAUAGACCAACAUUUCAAAUCCUAAGUCUGCCUUAAAUUCCGGCCAACUUUAGGUCAUUGUGUUUUCUAACCUUUCCGGCCCUUUUUCGCUUAUUCAAAUAUUGUAACAUUUGUGUAUACCUUAAAAUAUUUGUGUAUAUAGCUAUAGAACCCAUCCAUCAGGGUCGGAUCAUUUCUGAACAAUACAGCUAUUUAGUAAACAUUGGUCAAAUUUUUACAUUUCAUUAUGACUUAUUUGAAAGUCAUUUGCUGAGGUUUAAUUUCCAUUUUAAAAGCGCGCUUUCUGCCUGGUUUUUCAAUGGCCAAAUCGAGGAAUAGUCCAGUUAUUUUUAUCGUGCAGCGCAUCCAAUUAACCCGCUUGGUAGAGACGUCAAUAUCAAUAUGCCAUAUUAACGUAGCAGUCCAGUUAUCAUACUGCACCAGUAGCUGUUAUUCUAAGUAAAGCAGUCUUGACCAAUUCUCAGAAAUCAGGGGCGAAUUAUAGCAGCGAUAAUUAAUUAAAAAAAAGUGUUGUAACGCACGCAUAUUUUAGGUGCAACGUUGGAGUUUUCACUUGGUCGAAGGUUGAAUUGAAAGACUCUGCGCCUGUCUGAAAAUAUCUGCCACCCCGAACUUGCAUGAAAUUAUUUCGCUGCGACGCUGUCCUAAAAGAUUUUUCAAUGUGGAAAUAAAACCUUGGGUACAUUAGGAGCUGUGGAACCAGUGGAGUGAUAGUAAUAUCUAUUACUUACUGAAGUGUUAAUUGCUGUCUGAAAUAUUUAUUAAAUGUUAUAUUAUGUUAUCGUAUUUUCACGAAAAUACCAAUAUUUUGUAGCUGUUCUCAUGCAGAUAGCUGAAAUUUCUGGCUCGACAGCAGUAAAAAAAAUUCGGUGUAAGCAAGACUAUACCCAUUAAAGAAUGCCUGCGGUCCAAAAAGUUGGAAUAAGAUACGAAAAAUCCUGGAUACCCCUGUAUUGACCUCUAACGUGGGCCAAUAUUUUGUUUGUGGGCUGGUUUCUUAUCACGUCACACAUGCACGUCGCUUCAAUAUGGUCAUCAUGUUUAGCCAGAUAUAAUAUGUAAUUUUCGAACAUUUUUGGUGCAAUGAAACACAAUUAUGAAAUGUGCAAGGAUAUUUUUAACUUAAGAAAGAUCGUCCAUCAAUUCAAACUGAAGUAAUAAACACGUAGCUAAUCUACGACAGGAUGUUUAUUCAAUACGAACCUCUGAAACGGGAUCAAGAGUAACAAAUAGUUUAGCAUUUUUUAUUAAUUUAUAAUUUGUCAUGAAAUGAGUUUUUCAGCAAUAUAUACAAGAAAAGAAGUCGACCUGAUUUCUGAAAUAUUCCAGGAGGAAUCUCAGGAUGACACCAAAUGGGCUCUACAAAGUAAUUCCUGCAAGACCGCCACUAAUGCUAAAAAAUAUGAGGUAACACCUACAGCAUUAGGUAUGUCAAUGAGAUAAUAACAAUAAGCUACGCCGUGCCAAAGACAAAGCUCUCAGUCUUCCAAAGUCAGAUGAGUAGUGGGCUCCUUUCGAAGAAAAUAUUGUCUAUUUGACGUUCAGGUAAGUAAAUUGUAACAGUUUAUUAAAAUAUAAGGCGUCAAACUUAACAUGGACAGAAACUAAUAAUGGUCGAGUAGACUGAUCCUCGAGAUUCGCACGUUUAGAUGUGAUAUUGAAUUGCAAAACCGGUUUAGUAUACAGCUCUUUCCUACUCUACUUAUUUGAAAGCGAAAGAACCAACCACGCAAAUAAGCUUUCUAUCAAAUUUUAAAUUAUUUUCCACGGUUCAAGCAUCAAACAUUUCUUAAUAUGCAAACAUUAGGAACAAUAGAAAUAAAACAUCUCAGCUCAAUCUCAAUUUGAAAUUCAGCUAGACCAAGCUAACAUUUUUCUGCUGGUUGUGCAUGCAAAUUCUAUUUUUCACAUGGUUCCAUUUUGCGCACAUUAAUUGACGUUUUUACAAGAUAUGUAUUUUCAGUUUAGGUAAAAAUGUGGUCGUUUCUCAUUCAAGUAUUGAUUUCAAUACUUGUAAUUGCGGGAAAGAACUUGCCUGUUCGUAGAACUCUAGAAACAGGGAGCUGUUCAAAAUCAAACCAUGGUGAAAUGAUAUUGGUGAAAGAUAGAAAGAACAAAGAUGCCAUUAUAGUGUGUACUGAAAAUAACGAAGUAUUUAGCUGGAGAAAAACAGACAAUUCAAAACCUCUUGGUGAACAUUUUGACCCCGGCUACGACUGUCUCGACAUCUUGAAACACGAUGCGAAUUCUAAAGAUGGGUUUUAUUGGAUCACCUUGAACGGCAAUGUUCCGAAGAGGGUCUACUGUGACAUGACAACAGAUGGUGGUGGAUACAUACUGGUUGGUUACAUGAAUGAUACUGUGACUUGGAACGUUCCUUCAAAUAACGAAACUGUUGAACCUUUCGGAGAUCCUCAUUGGUCCAGCGAGUUUGGUGAUCUUCAAGUGAUAGACUUUAGAAUACAAGUUUCGUCCGAUGAUGAUUUUGAGAACACAAAAGCUCAUUGGGCAUUUCGAUUUCAAAACAAACGGUCACUAAAGAAUCUGAUGAUCGUCAAUCAAGGAGGAUGUCCAUACAACUUCCCAGGUGUUGGAGAUAUAUUACAUGUGAAAGAUCUAAUGACGGGUGGAAUUGUAGGAAAACAUUUCCCUUGUUCAAUAUUUGGAGCGUAUUAUCAUCCGUUGGCGAAAAUUGGUUGGACCAUGAUGAAUAGCUGCUUAGAUAAGUCAUGUCCAAAUGGAUUUGCUUAUCAUCCCGUAUUUCCAGUUCAAGUCGUUUAUUCUGGAGGAUUCAGUUUUGUCGCUGGUGAAGGUAGCAGGGCGUCUACGGCAUUUUUUGGUUGUGACAUGGGAAAGUGUUGUGCAUGUUAUGGACCACGUGGUGGAAGAAAUGUUUAUUGUCUCAAAGGAUGUCAAGCAACAAAUGGUGGUACAAUAACAAAACAUGCCUCAGCUUGGUUCUGGGUCAGAUCAAAUCCUCCUCGUAAAGUAAAGGGAAAAUGCAUGGAGUAUCAAAUUGAAGACGAGAAUGGCGAUAGUGGUGUCUGGUAUAAACUAGUUGGGGACGAUGAUAUGCCUGUUAAAGGACGUUGUGGGAAUGAGGGUAUUGUGGGCAACAAUGAUGAUUCAAUCAAGAGUAUCGGUGCUGCUGAUGGAUUUUUAGCCUAUAAUACCACAGAUGAAUCUCUUCUUUUCAGAAAAAACAACACAUGGAAAGCUCUAGCAGAAAAAGACGAGCUUUUGCAGAUGAAGGAACAAUUGCGAUGGGUAACAAAGCAUACAGUUGAUAUAUUUCUAAACCGGGGUUGAUUACUUUCGUUUACUGUUCUUCCUGAGUCACUUGACGCAAAAACAAUGGAGUUAUCCUUCUGAUAGGUACUUUGAAGAUUUUGAGUUGUAAAUCUUUGGCUGAAUUAAACCCACGUAUUCAAAGCGGAGUUUAUACCUUUCCAUUUCAAG